CCUACGGGCGGCAGCAGUGGGGAAUAUUGCACAAUGGGCGCAAGCCUGAUGCAGCCAUGCCGCGUGUGUGAAGAAGGCCUUCGGGUUGUAAAGCACUUUCAGCGGGGAGGAAGGCGUUAAGGUUAAUAACCUUGUCGAUUGACGUUACCCGCAGAAGAAGCACCGGCUAACUCCGUGCCAGCAGCCGCGGUAAUACGGAGGGUGCAAGCGUUAAUCGGAAUUACUGGGCGUAAAGCGCACGCAGGCGGUCUGUCAAGUCGGAUGUGAAAUCCCCGGGCUCAACCUGGGAACUGCAUUCGAAACUGGCAGGCUAGAGUCUUGUAGAGGGGGGUAGAACUCCAGGUGUAGCGGUGAAAUGCGUAGAGAUCUGGAGGAAUACCGGUGGCGAAGGCGGCCCCCUGGACAAAGACUGACGCCCAGGUGCGAAAGCGUGGGGAGCAAACAGGAUUAGAUACCCGGGUAGUC
rnacentral:rRNA from 1 species